rnacentral:rRNA from 1 species
GGGAAGAAGCCCUUCGGGGUGACGGUACCUGCAGAAGAAGUACCGGCUAACUACGUGCCAGCAGCCGCGGUAAUACGUAGGGUACAAGCGUUGUCCGGAAUUAUUGGGCGUAAAGAGCUCGUAGGUGGUUGGUCACGUCUGCUGUGGAAACGCAACGCUUAACGUUGCGCGUGCAGUGGGUACGGGCUGACUAGAGUGCAGUAGGGGAGUCUGGAAUUCCUGGUGUAGCGGUGAAAUGCGCAGAUAUCAGGAGGAACACCGGUGGCGAAGGCGGGACUCUGGGCUGUAACUGACACUGAGGAGCGAAAGCAUGGGGAGCGAACAGGAUUAGAUACCCUGGUAGUCCAUGCCGUAAACGUUGGGCACUAGGUGUGGGGGACAUUCCACGUUCUCCGCGCCGUAGCUAACGCAUUAAGUGCCCCGCCUGGGGAGUACGGUCGCAAGGCUAAAACUCAAAGGAAUUGACGGGGGCCCGCACAAGCGGCGGAGCAUGCGGAUUAAUUCGAUGCAACGCGAAGAACCUUACCAAGGCUUGACAUACACCAGACCGUUCUGGAAACAGUUCCUCCCCUUUGGGGUUGGUGUACAGGUGGUGCAUGGUUGUCGUCAGCUCGUGUCGUGAGAUGUUGGGUUAAGUCCCGCAACGAGCGCAACCCUCGUUCUAUGUUGCCAGCACGUAAUGGUGGGAACUCAUAGGAGACUGCCGGGGUCAACUCGGAGGAAGGUGGGGAUGACGUCAAAUCAUCAUGCCCUUUAUGUCUUGGGCUUCACGCAUGCUACAAUGGCUGGUACAGAGAGAUGCGAGACCGCGAGGUUUUAGCGAAUCCCUUAAAGCCAGUCUCAGUUCGGAUCGUAGUCUGCAAUUCGACUACGUGAAGUCGGAGUC